AGUGAACGCUGGCGGUAGGCCUAACACAUGCAAGUCGAACGGCAGCACAGGAGAGCUUGCUCUCUGGGUGGCGAGUGGCGGACGGGUGAGGAAUACAUCGGAAUCUGCCCAGUCGUGGGGGAUAACGUAGGGAAACUUACGCUAAUACCGCAUACGACCUUCGGGUGAAAGAGGGGGAUCGCAAGACCUCUCGCGAUUGGAUGAGCCGAUGUCGGAUUAGCUAGUUGGCGGGGUAAUGGCCCACCAAGGCGACGAUCCGUAGCUGGUCUGAGAGGAUGAUCAGCCACACUGGAACUGAGACACGGUCCAGACUCCUACGGGAGGCAGCAGUGGGGAAUAUUGGACAAUGGGCGCAAGCCUGAUCCAGCCAUACCGCGUGAGUGAAGAAGGCCUUCGGGUUGUAAAGCCCUUUUGUUGGGAAAGAAAUCUUUCAGGCUAAUACCCUGGGAGGAUGACGGUACCCAAAGAAUAAGCACCGGCUAACUUCGUG
rnacentral:rRNA from 1 species